UUUAUUUAUUAUUUAUUAAUUAAUUUAUGAGAUAGGGUUCUUACUGUGUAACCCAAGCUGGCCUAGAACUCACUAUAUAGCCCAGGCUAGCCUCUAACUCUUGGCAGUCCUCCUGCUUCCGCCUC
rnacentral:miRNA from 14 species